rnacentral:rRNA from 1 species
GACGAACGCUGGCGGCGUGCUUAACACAUGCAAGUCGAACGGAAAGGUCCUGCUUUUGUGGGGUGCUCGAGUGGCGAACGGGUGAGUAACACGUGAGUAACCUGCCCUUGACUUUGGGAUAACUUCAGGAAACUGGGGCUAAUACCGGAUAGGAGCUCCUGCUGCAUGGUGGGGGUUGGAAAGAUUCGGCGGUUGUGGAUGGACUCGCGGCUUAUCGGCUUGUUGGUGAGGUAGUGGCUUACCAAGGCUUUGACGGGUAGCCGGCCUGAGAGGGUGACCGGCCACAUUGGGAUUGCGGUAGGGACCAGUCGGCUACGGGCGGCAGCGGUGGGGAGUAUUACACAGUGGGCGGAAGCCAGAUGCGGCGGCCCCGCGUGCGGAAUGACGGCCUUCGGGUUGUAAACCGCUUUCGCCUGUGACGAAGCGUGAGUGACGGUAAUGGGUAAAGAAGCACCGGCUAACUACGUG